GACGAACGCUGGCGGCGUGCUUAACACAUGCAAGUCGAACGGAAAGGCCCUGCUUUUGUGGGGUGCUCGAGUGGCGAACGGGUGAGUAACACGUGAGUAACCUGGCCUUGACUUUGGGAUAACUUCAGGAAACUGGGGCUAAUACCGGAUAGGAGCUCCUGCUGCAUGGGGGGGGUUGGAAAGUUUCGGCGGUUGGGGAUGUACUCGCGGCUUAGCAGCUUGUUGGUGGGGUAGCGGCUUACCAAGGAUUUGACGGGUAGCCGGACUGGGAGGGUGACCGGCUACAUUGGGCCAGGGGUGGGGCCAGGGCGCAAACGGGGGGCAGCGGUGGGAAAUAUUGCACAAUGGGCGGAGGCCUGAUGCAGGGACGCCGCGUGCGAGAUGACGGCCUGCGGGGUGUAAGCGGCUUUAGCCUGUGACGAGGCGUGAGGGAGGGUCAUGGAUAAAGAGGCACCGGCUAACUACGG
rnacentral:rRNA from 1 species